AUGUAUUCCUUUUGACAUUUAGGCUACCAUUUUGCCUAAUGGAAAAGAGCAGAGCCAAGAUAUUUCGCUGUUUGAGGCUGAACUGCUAAUGGCACCCCCUCCCUCCACAUUAAGCAUCUAACUGAUGGCAGACCUACUCAUGAGUAAACAAUCCUGCCUGCCAUUUCAAGCAGCAAGCAGGGUGCAACCCAUCCUGGGAGCAGACUUGCACCAUGAAAAUUCCUCUACCUUCCCUGCCUCCCCCAACUCUAGAGAUGGGGAAUGUCAGCAUGCAGACAGCAGCACAAGAAUACCCUGGCUGGAACAAUAAGAUGCAGUCUCAUUAUGGAAGGUGAAAUGUGCACAGAUGGCCUCCUCAAAUGGAAAUAAACACCAUGAAUCCCAGGCAGUAUUACUUACAAACAGACAUUGCAACAAGUGAGAUAUUUGCACUGUCAACAGGGAAAUUCUAAAUAAGGAGGACACCAGAGGCCUCGCCUCUCAGUUGUAAAUGGGUUUCCCCUUCUCUUCCUGUUUCUGUAUCUUUGAAAGGAGCUUGAUCCAGCCCCCUUGUCUUCCAUCCUCUUUCCCUCCUGUUUUUUCAUGUCUCGUUCCCAGAUGUACCUUUGAAGUUUCCUGACCAUCUGAGAUUGCAAUCCUGACAACAACCUUUUGGGGGGCUUGCAGAUGUUUCUUCACACAAAGGCACAGCUAGCAUGAAAGUAAUAUGGGUUGUAGCCUGACCUGAUAAAACAGCAAUGAGAAAACUGUGUCUCUCCAAAUGCUGCUGGACUACAACUCCCAUUACCCUUGACCAUUGGUCAGAGGGCUACAAGUUUGUUUUCAAAUCAGAUGGAAGGUGGUUUGAGAGAAAGUGUACUAAUGUCACACAUACAUGGCUUCAAACACCAGCAGCGGGAGCCCAUUGGAGUCACAGUAAACAGUAAUGUGUACACAACCUUAGCCUGACGAAUGUUAGAUCUAGCCCCAUGUUUUCGCUCGUGUAUCAAAUUUCAUUUUCCUUCACAAGCAGCAAACAACAACUGGCCUACAUAUUUUGGCUACUUUUCAGCAGCAAAUAAUUUCUCCAUGGCACAGGUGUUUUUGUACUGCAGAAAGCAAUCGUGUAAUCGUAGACUGAGCAGUUUCUAGUUCUGCUUGCACAAUGUCUUCGGCUACAGGCUGUGACUGUGAGAUUGACGCAGGCACAGCACUGAACUCCACAGUGGAGUACUGAGCACUGACAAUCCUGUAACCCUGAUCAGACGGAAAUUAAAAAUUAUUAGUGGUCUGAUUUGCAUGGGGAAGAAGGGGACGGCAAGCCUCCCUCAACAAAAUUCAUUAUUGGCAAAGUCCAUUGCCACUGUUGCUGUUUCCCCACCACACUCUUUUAUUUCAGCUUUGGUAACAACAACAACUAGGAACCAUGCAAUAAACACCAAUCACUAAAUGCAAACCCUCUUUCUUGCAUUAACAUUGAAUCUUGCAGCCUGAUUUCAAUUAUGUUUACUCAACGUUCAAAGGGACCUACUUUCCAGUAGAUGCUGGGGUCGUGAGCCUACCUUU